GAUGAACGCUGGCGGCGUGCCUAAUACAUGCAAGUCGAGCGAACAGACGAGGAGCUUGCUCCUUUGACGUUAGCGGCGGACGGGUGAGUAACACGUGGGUAACCUACCUAUAAGACUGGGAUAACUUCGGGAAACCGGCGCUAAUACCGGAUAAUAUUUCGAACCGCAUGGUUCGAUAGUGAAAGAUGGCUCUGCUAUCACUUAUAGAUGGACCUCGGCCGUAUUAGCUAGUUGGUAAGGUAACGGCUUACCAAGGCAACGAGACGUAGCCGACCUGAGAGGGUGAUCGCCCACACGGGAACUGAGACGCGGUCCAGACUCCUACGGGAGGCAGCAGUAGGGAACGUGCCGCAAUGGGCGAAAGCCUGACGGAGCAACGCCGCGUGAGUGAUGAAGGUCUUCGGAUCGUAAAACUCUGUUAUUAGGGAAGAACAAACGUGUAAGUAACUGUGCACGUCUUGACGGUACCUAAUCAGAAAGCCACGGCUAACUACGUG
rnacentral:rRNA from 1 species